rnacentral:sRNA from 22 species
UGACCACUUUUUUAAAGAAAAGUUAAGGCCAUACGGACAGCCGGGUCAAAUGCCGA